CGGUAGGGGGCAAGCGUUUGUCCGGUAUUUUAUUGGGCGUAAAGAGCGUGUAGGCGGCCAUUCAGGUCAGCUGUGAAAACUCGAGGCUCAACCUCGAGACGUCGGUUGAAACCGUUUUGGCUAGAGUCCGGAAGAGGAGAGUGGAAUUCCCGGUGUAGCGGUGAAAUGCGCAGAUAUCGGGAAGAACACCCGUGGCGAAGGCGGCUCUCUGGGACGGUACUGACGCUGAGACGCGAAAGCGUGGGGAGCAAACAGGAUUAGAUACCCUGGUAGUCCACGCCGUAAACGAUGGGCGCUAGGUGUGGCGGGUAUCGACUCCCGCUGUACCGAAGCUAACGCAUUAAGUGCCCCGCCUGGGGAGUACGGCCGCAAGGCUA
rnacentral:rRNA from 1 species